rnacentral:lncRNA from 1 species
CCUGGGAUUUGCUGCUCAGAACCUGAGUUCACUGAGACAUCAGGAGCAAGCACUGGAGGCCAGGUGCUGCUGGACCCAGAUGGGAGCCAUGCAGGACUUGACCAUGGCCUGCACACACUUCUUCCCAGGAGAAGGGGAAUGAGGAAGAACUAGAUCCUAAGAGCAGAAGACAAUCAUAUGUCCUGAGAACCCAUUGGAGGUUGAACAGCGCUGGGUGGAUGGAGAAAGGCAGAAAUGCAGAAUUUCGUCAUUGCCUGGAUGCUGACUUUAUCCAAAGAGAAGAUGCAUGAGGAGUGUACAUGCCUCAGAACUGGAUGCUGAGACAUGCCCCCGCGAUCCCAAGACCACCAGGUACCGUGAGCAAUCACUGGAGCUGGAACACUGCUGCCUGAGGAAGAGAAGAAGUGCAGGCUUGUCAUUGUCUAUGCUGUUACUUGUGGUUCCCGGGUCUUCAGAGAGGAUGCACAAGAACGGGAGAACCGGCCCCUGGGAUUUGCUGCUCAGGACCCGAGUUCAGUGAGACAUCAGGAGCAAGCACUGGAGGCCGGUGCUGCUGGACCCAGAUGGGAGCCAUGCAGGACUUGACCAUGGCCUGCACACACUUCUUCCCAGGAGAAGGGGAAUGAGGAAGAACUGGACCAGAAGAUUUAACUUCCAUACCACAAGCACUGGGGUAGAAGACUGCUGCUGGGUGAAGAAGAGACUAGACUUGAUCAUUGAGCAGCCACUCACUGAUAUCUUCAGUGCUGCAUGAGGAAGCAGAGUUUAUUCUUCUGGAUUUGGUGGUGGAUUCUGGUGAAGAUACAGAUGGAUGCUCUGGCUGAGUCGCUACCUUGAAAUGAAAAUGGGAGGACUGGCCCCUGGGAUUUUCUGCUCAGGACCCGAGUUCACUGAGACAUCAGGAGCAAGCACUGGAGGCCGGUGCUGCUGGACCCAGAUGGGCGCCAUGCAGGACUUGACCAUGGCCUGCACACACUUCUUCCCAGGAGAAGGGGAAUGAGGAAAGUGGGGGGCCUCAAAGCUUCCUUUCCUUUCUGUUUGUCUUGCUAUGUUUUUAUAUUCCUUUUUAUCCAUUUAAUUAUUUAGUACAAAAUCAGGUCCAGUCUCCUUAGAUAUGGCAUUGAUAUAAAGUGUAAAAUGGAAGCUAAAUUCUAGGAGUACAGCAUUGCAUGCUUCUGACAGAGACAAGGAAGGCUAGAAUCACACAGUUAGUGGACACUGCAACUAUAUUGACAUUUUUUUUUUUUUAGACUGUGAAGGUGGGGACAGAUUGCUGCACUCAGAACACCUUCCCUGCUCUGGGGAAACAAACACUGUCAUCAUGGGGAAAAUGUUUCCUGUAGACCCACACAAGCACACACCCCUCCUCCUACAUCCAGCUUCUCCUCAGCCAUUUUGAAGCAGGGAAGAUCAGGGGGAUUCAUGAAUGGCGAAAUUUGGCCUUUUUUAGUGUAUUUCUCUCCUUCUGUAGGCAGACUGGCAUCACCUGACCCUUCAGAGUAUUAACUCAGACCCUGGUGACUGAGGUCCAGUACCAAGUGCUCAGCUGGGCUGCGGUGCAGGGACAGGAAGCAGAAGGGCAGAUUCAACCCCCCUCAGCUGGCCAUGCUAAUCUACUAGCUGGUGUCCUAGGGCAGCAAGGCGCCUCCCUCUCCAGGAUCUGAUGAGAAAACACUGCAGUUCCAGUUUCUUUCGGGGCUUGAAGAGAAGUCAAGGAAGCCCUGCAAGGCACUCACAGCUGAUCAUGCUUUCUGUAAUCGCCCUCCAUCUUCCUUCAUUGCUAGGAAUCAUUGGAAGGACAACAGCGGAGCUGUGAGUUUUGAAACCGCGUCCUCAUGGGGGCAGUAGAGGUCCAC